UACGUAGGGGGCGAGCGUUGUCCGGAUUUAUUGGGCGUAAAGAGCUCGUAGGCGGUUUGGCAAGUCGGGUGUGAAACCUCCAGGCUCAACCUGGAGUCGCCACCCGAUACUGCUAUGACUUGAGUCUGGUAGGGGAUCACGGAAUUCCUGGUGUAGCGGUGAAAUGCACAGAUAUCAGGAGGAACACCGGUGGCGAAGGCGGUGAUCUGGGCCAGUACUGACGCUCAAGAGCGAAAGCGUGGGGAGCAAACAGG
rnacentral:rRNA from 1 species